rnacentral:rRNA from 1 species
AUUGAACGCUGGCGGCAUGCCUUACACAUGCAAGUCGAACGGUAACAGGCCGCAAGGUGCUGACGAGUGGCGAACGGGUGAGUAAUGCAUCGGAACGUGCCCAGUCGUGGGGGAUAACUGCUCGAAAGAGCAGCUAAUACCGCAUACGACCUGAGGGUGAAAGCGGGGGACCGUAAGGCCUCGCGCGAUUGGAGCGGCCGAUGUCAGAUUAGCUAGUUGGUGGGGUAAAGGCCUACCAAGGCAACGAUCUGUCGUUGGGCUGAGAGGACGACCAGCCACACUGGGAAUGUGGCACGGCCCAGACGCCGACGGGAGGAGGCAGUGGGGGAUUUUGGACAAUGGGCGCGAGACAGAUCCAACAAUGCCGCGUGCAGGAAGAAGGCCUUCGGGUUGUAAACUGCUUUUGUCAGGGAAGAAAUCUUCUGGGCUAAUACCCCGGGAGGAUGACGGUACCUGAAGAAUAAGCACCGGCUAACUACGUGCCAGCAGCCGCGGUAACAC